rnacentral:rRNA from 1 species
AGAGUUUGAUCCUGGCUCAGGACGAACGCUGGCGGCGCGCCUAACACAUGCAAGUCGAACGGAGCUGAGAGGAGCUUGCUUUUCUUAGCUUAGUGGCGAACGGGUGAGUAACGCGUGAGUAACCUGCCCUGGAGUGGGGGACAACAGUUGGAAACGACUGCUAAUACCGCAUAAGCCCACGAUCCGGCAUCGGAUUGAGGGAAAAGGAUUUAUUCGCUUCAGGAUGGACUCGCGUCCAAUUAGCUAGUUGGUGAGGUAACGGCCCACCAAGGCGACGAUUGGUAGCCGGACUGAGAGGUUGAACGGCCACAUUGGGACUGAGACACGGCCCAGACUCCUACGGGAGGCAGCAGUGGGGGAUAUUGCACAAUGGGGGAAACCCUGAUGCAGCGACGCCGCGUGGAGGAAGAAGGUUUUCGGAUUGUAAACUCCUGUCGUUAGGGACGAUAAUGACGGUACCUAACAAGAAAGCACCGGCUAACUACGUGCCAGCAGCCGCGGUAAAACGUAGGGUGCAAGCGUUGUCCGGAAUUACUGGGUGUAAAGGGAGCGCAGGCGGACCGGCAAGUUGGAAGUGAAAACUAUGGGCUCAACCCAUAAAUUGCUUUCAAAACUGCUGGCCUUGAGUAGUGCAGAGGUAGGUGGAAUUCCCGGUGUAGCGGUGGAAUGCGUAGAUAUCGGGAGGAACACCAGUGGCGAAGGCGACCUACUGGGCACCAACUGACGCUGAGGCUCGAAAGCAUGGGUAGCAAACAGGAUUAGAUACCCUGGUAGUCCAUGCCGUAAACGAUGAUUACUAGGUGUUGGAGGAUUGACCCCUUCAGUGCCGCAGUUAACACAAUAAGUAAUCCACCUGGGGAGUACGACCGCAAGGUUGAAACUCAAAGGAAUUGACUU